GCCAGUAUGAUGUAAUGGUUUGAGUGUUGGACUACAACUCUGAAAAGCAGGGUUCAAUUCCCUGCUCAGUCA